CAAGAGCGUAUAUUAAAGUUGUUGCAGUUAAAAGCUCGUAGUUGGAUUUCUGGUACAACGCGCCUGGCCCGCUUUUGUGAGUGCCGGUGCGCGUUUGCCAUCCUUCUAGAAAACGUUUCUACCCGGGUAACUGGGCCGGACUCGCGAUCUAGAUCAUUUACUUUGAAAAACUUAGAGUGUUUUAAAAGCAGGCUUUUUGCUAUGAAUACAUUAGCAUGGAAUAAUAAUAUAGGACUUUGGUUCUAUUUUGUUGGUUUCUAGGACUAAAGUAAUGAUUGAUAGGGAUAGUUGGGGGUGGCUAGUAUUCAGCGGUCCAGAGGGCUGGAAAUUUCUUGGAUUCGCUGAAGACUAACUUAUGCGAAAGCAUUCACCAAGGAUGUCUUCUUUAAU
rnacentral:rRNA from 1 species